rnacentral:rRNA from 1 species
UGGGGAAUAUUGGACAAUGGGCGAAAGCCUGAUCCAGCCAUGCCGCGUGUGUGAAGAAGGUCUUCGGAUUGUAAAGCACUUUAAGUUGGGAGGAAGGGCAGUAAGCGAAUACCUUGCUGUUUUGACGUUACCGACAGAAUAAGCACCGGCUAACUCUGUGCCAGCAGCCGCGGUAAUACAGAGGGUGCAAGCGUUAAUCGGAAUUACUGGGCGUAAAGCGCGCGUAGGUGGUUCGUUAAGUUGAAUGUGAAAGCCCCGGGCUCAACCUGGGAAGUGAAUCCAAAACUGGAGAGCUAGAGUAGGGCAGAGGGUGGUGGAAUUUCCUGUGUAGCGGAGAAAUGCGUAGAUAUAGGAAGGAACACCAGUGGCGAAGGCGACCACCUGGGCUCAUACUGACACUGAGGUGCGAAAGCGUGGGGAGCAAACAGG